rnacentral:rRNA from 1 species
UUGAGAGUUUGAUCCUGGCUCAGGAUGAACGCUGGCGGCGUGCCUAACACAUGCAAGUCGAGCGAUUCUCUUCGGAGAAGAGCGGCGGACGGGUGAGUAACGCGUGGGUAACCUGCCCUGUACACACGGAUAACAUACCGAAAGGUAUGCUAAUACGGGAUGAUAUAUAAGAGUCGCAUGACUUUUAUAUCAAAGAUUUUUCGGUACAGGAUGGACCCGCGUCUGAUUAGCUUGUUGGCGGGGUAACGGCCCACCAAGGCGACGAUCAGUAGCCGACCUGAGAGGGUGAUCGGCCACAUUGGAACUGAGACACGGUCCAAACUCCUACGGGAGGCAGCAGU